AUUGAACGCUGGCGGCAUGCCUUACACAUGCAAGUCGAGCGGCAGCACGGGUACUUGUACCUGGUGGCGAGCGGCGGACGGGUGAGUAAUACCUAGGAAUCUGCCUGGUAGUGGGGGAUAACGUUCGGAACGGACGCUAAUACCGCAUACGUCCUACGGGAGAAAGCAGGGACCUUCGGGCCUUGCGCUAUCAGAUGAGC
rnacentral:rRNA from 1 species